CAGUUUCUCUGGAACUGACCAUGAAAACGCUCAUUGAGGUCCUGUGUCUUUAAGCCCCCCCUCCCCGCACCUCGCUUUAUUAUGAUUGGUCAGCUUGUGGACGUCUUCCUGUUUUCCUGGGGCUUAAAUGGCCGUGUACCUGGAGCAGGCUGUGAAAAUAGCUGUAAUCCCCCCAGAACUGUGAAAGGAAAGAAGUUAUUGAAUGUCACGUCAUUUUAAUGUUGUUAAGUUCACCUCAGGACUUGCAUCUUUGACAAAUGAAAAAAAAAGGAACACAACAUAUCUGACAUCCACACAAAAGAAUACAGAGGAACACUGGUUUUUCCCCUGUGCUGCACAUGUGGAAACAUCUAUCGCGGAACAUCUGGAAAAUGCCAGCAGCCAGACAGAAGAAAGUCAAAUUGCAGCGAAUUUCCAAACUGUUUAUGCAAAACAGUUCCUGCUCCAUAAAUUGUAUCCAAACGUCAAUGAGCAAAGUGCACCAGUAAAGGCUAAAAUCAAUGUGUGGUCCAACAGAGUUCACAGUGAUUUGUGCUCUUGGUUUUCAGUAUCUGGGGGAACCUUUCCUAUAGAAAAUGGCAUUUGAUGUAUAUUGUAAAUAUUUUCCAGUAAUUCUUCUGGUGUGAAUGCUCAGAACUGUUAAAUACCUCAUAACACAAGAAAUGUGAGUUUAUGACAUGGACAAUAAUGGCAUAAGAGAAAAUGUAUGUUUACUGAGUUCUGUGCUGCUUCUAUACGCUUAAAUAGUUUCCCUAGUUACUAGUUUCUAGUAUAUAUAUACACAUAUAUAUAUAUAUGAUAUACAUAUAUACAUAUACAUGUUCAUGCAGCUGCUACAAAAAUGAUGACUGACUUAAAUUUGACACAAGCACCUUGGAGUUCUGUGUCUUAUAGACAUCUAUGCACAUAUCAAUUUCCCUUCCCCAUCAGCCCCUGGGCAUUUUAUCGCCUCCAAAAAAGACGCAGAGAAAUUAAGUGGACCAGCACCUCUAAAUAAAGACCUCCAAUUUAGCAUGAUUGAAGUCUGAUCCUGACCCAGACAACAUAUUGCUACCAUGUGCCUUCCAAUGUAUUCAAACCUGGAGGUGGCUGGGGAAUGAUGCUCGAGCUCAGUAUCAAAGGGAACAGUCAGGUGGUGGUCAUCAUACAUCCAGAUGAUGCAUACAUGUACAUGAGCUCAUAUGGACACAGAUUUAUUAUGAAUUCAGUCCCCAUCUGGUCAAACAGACUAAAAUGUAAAGGCAGUUAAAGCAGGUGUGAGUCUCUGGAGUCCUGCCAGUGACGCAGUUGGACAAAGUGUGUGUCUGUCUGUGUGUGUCAAUCUGUGGUUAGCAUGGGAGGCCGAUCAAAUAUCACACACACACACACACACACACACACACACACACACACACACACACACACACACACACACACACACACA